UACGUAGGGCGCAAGCGUUGUCCGGAAUUAUUGGGCGUAAAGAGCUCGUAGGCGGUUUGUCGCGUCUGCUGUGAAAACCUAAGGCUCAACCUUGGGCUUGCAGUGGGUACGGGCAGACUAGAGUGCGGCAGGGGUGACUGGAAUUCCUGGUGUAGCGGUGGAAUGCGCAGAUAUCAGGAGGAACACCGAUGGCGAAGGCAGGUCACUGGGCCGCAACUGACGCUGAGGAGCGAAAGCAUGGGGAGCGAACAGG
rnacentral:rRNA from 1 species